rnacentral:lncRNA from 1 species
GGGAAGCAGGAAGGCUGGUGUCUCUGAUUCUUCCUGAAGCACCUGGACUAGGGGAGGCCUUACUGUUUGAAUUUUUAACAAUGAGGAGAAGUUUACCAGGAGGAAAAGGAAUCAUCUUAAAAUUAAUGAGGAGGCUGAGCCAGGACGAUCACUUGAGCCCACGAAGUCAAGGCUACCCUGAGCCAUGUUCAUGCCACUGCACUCUAGCCUGAGUGACAGAGCAAGACCCGGUCUCCAGAAAGAAAGAAGAAAGAGAAAGAAAGAAGAAAAAGAGAGAAAGAAGGAAAGAAACAUAGAUAGACUAAUGCAGCUUCUCAGUUAUUUUGGUAUCAUGAACAGAGUAUUCUGAAAGGAGAAUAAAAUAAUUCUGGACCCACUUAAAUGUAUUUUUCAUAAGCUAAUAAAUCAGCAUAUGCCUGUUGAGAAUGUUAAUAAAACUAAGAAUGACA